rnacentral:rRNA from 1 species
CGGGGAAUUUUGGACAAUGGGCGAAAGCCUGAUCCAGCAAUGCCGCGUGUGUGAAGAAGGCCUUCGGGUUGUAAAGCACUUUUGUCCGGAAAGAAAUCCUUGGCUCUAAUACAGUCGGGGGAUGACGGUACCGGAAGAAUAAGCACCGGCUAACUACGUGCCAGCAGCCGCGGUAAUACGUAGGGUGCAAGCGUUAAUCGGAAUUACUGGGCGUAAAGCGUGCGCAGGCGGUUUGCUAAGACCGAUGUGAAAUCCCCGGGCUCAACCUGGGAACUGCAUUGGUGACUGGCAGGCUAGAGUAUGGCAGAGGGGGGUAGAAUUCCACGUGUAGCAGUGAAAUGCGUAGAGAUGUGGAGGAAUACCGAUGGCGAAGGCAGCCCCCUGGGCCAAUACUGACGCUCAUGCACGAAAGCGUGGGGAGCAAACAGGAUUCAGAUACCCUGGUAGUCCACGCCCUAAACGAUGUCAACUAGUUGUUGGGGAUUCAUUUCCUUAGUAACGUAGCUAACGCGUGAAGUUGACCGCCUGGGGAGUACGGUCGCAAGAUUAAAACUUAAAGGAAUUG